rnacentral:tRNA from 1 species
GCGCCGUUAGCUCAGUCGGGUCAGAGCGGCUGGCUCUUAACCAGCGGGUCCGGGGUUCGAAUCCCUGACGGCGCAC